rnacentral:tRNA from 1 species
GCCUCGGUAGCUCAGUUGGUAAGAGCGGCCGCCUUGUAAGCGGCAGGUCGUGGGUUCGAAUCCCACCCGGGGCUCCA